AACAUUCUGGUCAUGUGACCUCCUUCUGAUGGUGGUCACUAUGGUGACUGCUGCCUUGAUUUAACGUCUCGGUGGCGCUACAGCGGCAGUCCGACUGGGCGGCAGAAGAAGAAGACGUGGUGAUGGAUGUAAACAAAUAGCUGCAGAUGUUUCGUCGCAGAUUCUUCAAGACUAGACCUGGAUGUGUGUGAAAGAAAGAUACCAGAUGAAGAAGACCCCGCUGAAAAACAGUUAAACGUCCAAUCAGCGACCGGCGAUGUCGUGGGUGAAGCAGCGGUACCGUGACAUCAGCCCCGUGACCCUGCAGGUGGUGGGUGGAGCCGUGAGCUCCAGUCUGUACUGUGGGGAGGUGGAGGGGCUCCUCGGGGCAACGGUGGGGCUGGUGGAGUCCUUCCUGGUGGAGCUCUAUCGCUGCAAACUCUGUCAGUUCACCUGCGGCCUGAAGGCCUCCAUCAGCAGCCACCUGCUGCUCAGGCACCGCCCCCUUCCCUCACCUGUCUGGAGGGCGAGGCUGAGGGCGGGGAAGAGGUGGAGCUGCAGCGGGGGGCAUCGCCUUAUCAGCUGGACCUGAACGGAGAAACGAAGCAGAGUGACGAGGAUGAGGACUUCCUGCUCUACAACAUGCUGGACAACAUGAGCCCGCCCACCUGUGACAUCAGCACUGAGGGGGGGCUGCAGGUCGCACACACCUAGCUCCCUGCUCCCCAGCAGACCACUGCAUAGAAAACAGCAGACGCUACCACAGAGUCAUAGAAUGUCCGGAGCAGAGUCCUGCUCACUCCAAAGGACCUCGGUCUCCUCAGCAGGUGGAGACGACUUUGGUCCUUCUUGUACAGGACCUCUGUGUUGUGUGACCAGUCCAGUUUGUUGUUGAGGUGAACACCCAGGUAUCUGUAUGAGUCCACUAUUUCAGUGUCCAAACCCUGGAUGUUCACCGGUGCAGUCUGAGGUGUCCUCCUCCUGCAGAAGUCGAUGGUCAUCUCUUUCGUCUUACUGGCGUUGAGCUGCAGAUGGUUUCGCUCACACCAGUCGACAAAGUCAGAGAUGACUGUCCUGUUCUCCAUCUCAUCCCCAUCAGACACACACCCUAUGAGACGUAGAAUGAAGUGUUUUCAAUAAUCUGAUGCUUCUUUCUGUUUUUAUGGGGAUUUCUUUAAACCCCUGCUGUUAGUUCUGGUUCUGGUUCUGGUAUGUUUUCUGAGCAUCCGU